rnacentral:rRNA from 1 species
UACGAAGGGGGCUAGCGUUGCUCGGAAUGACUGGGCGUAAAGGGCGCGUAGGCGGAUUGGUCAGUCAGACGUGAAAUUCCUGGGCUUAACCUGGGGGCUGCGUUUGAGACGGCUGAUCUAGAGUGGGGAAGAGGGUCGUGGAAUUCCCAGUGUAGAGGUGAAAUUCGUAGAUAUUGGGAAGAACACCGGUGGCGAAGGCGGCGACCUGGUCCUUUACUGACGCUGAGGAGCGAAAGCAUGGGUAGCGAACAGG